GAUGAACGCUGGCGGCGUGCCUAAUACAUGCAAGUCGAGCGAACAGACGAGGAGCUUGCUCCUUCGACGUUAGCGGCGGACGGGUGAGUAACACGUAGGUAACCUACCUAUAAGACUGGGAUAACUUCGGGAAACCGGAGCUAAUACCGGAUAAUAUUUCGAACCGCAUGGUUCGAUAGUGAAAGAUGGCUUUGCUAUCACUUAUAGAUGGACCUGCGCCGUAUUAGCUAGUUGGUAAGGUAACGGCUUACCAAGGCAACGAUACGUAGCCGACGUGAGAGAGUGAUCGCCCACACUGGAACUGAGACACGGUCCAGACUCCUACGGGAGGCAGCAGUAGGGAAUCGUCCGCAAUGGGCGAAAGCCUGACGGAGCAACGCCGCGUGAGUGAUGAAGGUCUUCGGAUCGUAAAACUCUGUUACGAGGGAAGAACAAACGUGGAAGUAACUGUGCACGUCUUGACGGUACCUAAUCAGAAAGCCACGGCUAACUACGUG
rnacentral:rRNA from 1 species